rnacentral:tRNA from 1 species
AGGAUUAUAGUUAACUAUAACAUUUAACUUGCAAUUAAAAAGUAUUGUAUUAUUCAAUUUAUCUU